AUUGAAAGAAAGGACGAUGAAGAUGAAUUCGAGAUGAGUUGUUCCGCCUUGCGCAUGCGCGACAGGCCCAUUUCUGGCUGCGGAGUAUUUUCGCAUCACUCGUGUGUGCUUCGCCGAAUCGUUACAAUAUGUGUGUCCACUUGGUAGCGUAACAAUCGCAGUGUAGACAGUGAGGUGGUUGUCGCUCGCUCAACAUUAUGCGGACCAGCCAUAAUAGUAUAUUUGAAUCUGCGAAGAAUUGUUUCGACAGGUGGGGUUAUGUUACCCAUGGUUAUGUUGCAUUGCAUUCCAGUGGAGGACUUAUUCUAUUUCAAAAGUGGUAUAUUCGUUAUAAUUAUAUCUAAUUCUAUUUGGUUUUCCUGGAAAUCUUUGUGGACAGAUUAAGGAUUAUGGAAUAUGCAAAUCGUAUAGUGUUCUUUGGAGAUGCGGACAAUUUUGGAAGUUGGAUCUGUAUGUUUUGCUAUGUUUAAUUGUUUCUAUGUAUGGUGCUCAGGAGCUUCACAUGGAUGAUUGGACAAUUUUAGAAAAAGGGCAACGAGUAUUUUGGAGUAUUUAAUCCUGUAUUUUUAAAAUGUAAUUUAUCGUCGAGUGAGCUGCACAUAUUUUUAUUCUUUCAAUUUAUCGUUGUUUUUUUUAUUGAAAUAAAGUUGGUUCA